rnacentral:lncRNA from 13 species
AUGGACUACAUCCAGACGGAUGCCAUCAUCAAUUACGGGAACUCCGGGGGACCGCUGGUGAACCUGGUAAGUGUCUGCUACAGCCAGAAUCUCCAGGUUUCUGGGGCUCUUCUCACAUGGGGGCACUCAGCCUUGAGGUGGGACAGGCCCCACAGUGUGGUUCUACAACCUUUACACCAACAGUCAGGAGUGUGGCUGGGCCGAGGCCUGGAAGGGGGACAGACCAAGGCACAUGCUGCCCAGAGCACCUCAGGGAGGCUGGUGGCCACUGGGAAUGAGGGCUUACCCACAAGCAGCAGCUCGGUCCAGGGCCAUGUCCCCGUCAGGGGAUCUGGGGCAGGGGAGACGCAGGUGUGGGGCUGCUCACCCCAGGCCUCCCUGCCCUGGAUGUACACACAGGAUGACAGGGGCACCCUCAUUCUCUUCUGUCCCCCUCAAUCACCCCUUCUCAAUAGUAUCUUGGGCCUCAAAGUCAGGCUCAGCCUCAUCCCAGGUGAGACUUUUCCAGAAUAAACCAGGAAGCUCGGUUCAGAACUCCUAGGCCUUGAAGAAUUGGACAGUCCCAUCCCUAGAGCACCUGUCCAUGGCAGGGGAGGUGUCCAGAUGUGAACAAGCACAAUGGGAGCCACAUGAGAUGGCUCUGGAGGAGGAUGCCAGGCAGGAAGUCCUGACAGCUGAUGGGGGAUCAAGGAGGGCUUCCUGGAGGCGACAGCAUUACACAACACUGUUGAGAUUGAGGAGGACUGGGCACAGGAGAAAGAGACCCCAGGGGGAAGGCACAGCAUGAGCACUGGGGAGGCUCUCAGAGGCUUAGGGUGAGGGAAGUCAGACAAAGGGGCAGCGACAGGGGCUGGUGGCCUGUGUCCUGCUGCCUCAGGCCUCGUGUGCAGAUGGGGCUUCUCCCUGUGUGCCCAAGAUGUCUUCCAGGCUUUUGUCAGGGUUGAGGGCAUGCCCUGGUUUUGGGGAAGCUCAUGUGUGUGGUUUAGGCUGGAGGCCAGGAAGCCAGGCCCUGGAGGCUACUCCAUGUGGUCCAGGCAGUAGAGACGAGCACAGAGGGCCAAGGCCAGACACAGAACUCAGCCCACGGCAUCGCACACUGGGCUGCUCUUCCUGCCUCCUGAGCUUUCAGGGACCAGGAGGACAAAGGGUACCUUGAUCCAAGGCUCUGCCCUGGGGCCCAGAGGGUCCCCUGGUGAGCUGGCCAGGCCCUGGCCAGGAGGGCACGGCCACGGGUACAUGCCAGGUGGUGUGGGGCUCCUUUCCAGCUGCGUACCCGAGUGUGAGGUCCCUAGGGGCAAGGUGAGAUCCUGCCCAGGUGGCACUAGACUCGUGGGGGGAAGGGCAGGUUGGGAGGGGCUCCAAAGAGAGGGAGUGGGGAGUCAGUGAGCUCCCCUGGCCUCACCCACCAGACCCCCGCUUCUGUAAGGAAAGGAUAGAUGGAGUCUCAGUCCCCGACACGCCUCACCAUGUUCCUUCCCCUCUCAAUCUCUCCAAGUGUGGCUUGGCACUGCCC